GGAUAACCUACCCUUAGGACUGGGAUAACCCUGGGAAACUGGGGCUAAUACCGGAUAGGCAAUUUUUCCUGGAAUGGUUUUUUGUUUAAAUGUUUUUUCGCCUAAGGAUGGGUCUGCGGCCGAUUAGGUAGUUGGUUAGGUAAUGGCUUACCAAGCCGUUGAUCGGUACGGGUUGUGAGAGCAAGAGCCCGGAGAUGGAACCUGAGACAAGGUUCCAGGCCCUACGGGGUGCAGCAGGCGCGAAACCUCCGCAAUGUGAGAAAUCGCGACGGGGGGAUCCCAAGUGCCAUUCUUAACGGGAUGGCUUUUCAUUAGUGUAAAGAGCUUUUGGAAUAAGAGCUGGGCAAGACCGGUGCCAGCCGCCGCGGUAACACCGGCAGCUCUAGUGGUAACAAUUUUUAUUGGGCCUAAAGCGUCCGUAGCCGGUUUAAUAAGUCUCUGGUGAAAUCCUGUAGCUUAACUGUGGGAAUUGCUGGAGAUACUAUUAGACUUGAGACCGGGAGAGGUUAGAGGUACUCCCAGGGUAGAGGUGAAAUUCUGUAAUCCUGGGAGGACCGCCUGUUGCGAAGGCGUCUAACUGGAACGGUUCUGACGGUGAGGGACGAAAGUUAGGGGCGCGAACCGGAUUAGAUACCCGGGUAGUCCUAACUGUAAACGAUGCGGACUUGGUGUUGGGGUGGCUUUGAGCUG
rnacentral:rRNA from 1 species